rnacentral:rRNA from 1 species
UACGGGGGGGGCAAGCGGUUGUUCGGAAUUACUGGGCGUAAAGGGCUCGUAGGCGGCCAACUAAGUCAGACGUGAAAUCCCUCGGCUUAACCGGGGAACUGCGUCUGAUACUGGAUGGCUUGAGGUUGGGAGAGGGAUGCGGAAUUCCAGGUGUAGCGGUUGAAAUGCGUAGAUAUCUGGAGGAACACCGGUGGCGAAGGCGGCAUCCUGGACCAAUUCUGACGCUGAGUGAGCGAAAGCCAGGGGAGCAAAACGGGG